AGAGUUUGAUCCUGGCUCAGGAUGAACGCUGGCGGCGUGCUUAACACAUGCAAGUCGAGCGAAGCAGUUAAGUUGAUUUCUUCGGAUUGAUUCUUAACUGACUGAGCGGCGGACGGGUGAGUAACGCGUGGGUGACCUGCCCCAUACCGGGGGAUAACAGCUGGAAACGGCUGCUAAUACCGCAUAAGCGCACAGAGCUGCAUGGCUCGGUGUGAAAAACUCCGGUGGUAUGGGAAUGGGCCCGCGUCUGAUUAGGCAGUUGGCGGGGUAACGGCCCACCAAACCGACGAUCAGUAGCCGGCCUGAGAGGGCGACCGGCCACAUUGGGACUGAGACACGGCCCAAACUCCUACGGGAGGCAGCAGUGGGGAAUAUUGCACAAUGGGGGAAACCCUGAUGCAGCGACGCCGCGUGAGCGAAGAAGUAUUUCGGUAUGUAAAGCUCUAUCAGCAGGGAAGAUAAUGACGGUACCUGACUAAGAAGCCCCGGCUAACUACGUGCCAGCAGCCGCGGU
rnacentral:rRNA from 1 species